GGUGGCAGACAUCAUUUCUUCAAUGAACUUAGUAUUUAGAAAGAUAUCUUCACUCCAAGCAUCAAGUCUUUUCUGUCCUGCAAAAGUCUUAAGUCAAACCAGAAUCCACUAGUAGAGGGCACCUUUGGAUUCAACAGUAAAAGGAGAAUCUACAAAACCAGCUCAUCAAAAGGAUAUUGAAUGAAGCUAUGAUACCUGUAGCAGUUACUGCCAUUUUGGACCCAUAAACUGACAAUCCUUAAACAUUACCAGGAGGGCAGAGCGGAAAGAACAUUGAUGUCAUCACUGAGUUGCUGGAUUACCUUACUCUAGAAAUAGCCAACUCUGCAUGUUUGGUUAUUUUUUUAAAAAGUCUUCUUUAUUAUUUACAUCAUUUUGAAUGGGCUCUAACUCUAGCUCUUAUAGUAAAAAGCAUUUGAACUGAUACAAAUAAUUAUCUCCAUAUGGUUAUUUUGAGAAUUAAAUGAGAUAACACAUAAAAUGUAUGCUUGGGACAACGUCAUACAUAACACUCAAGAGUACAUAUUGUUAGUAUUAUUGAUGUUGUUGAUGUUAAAGCUGUUACUUCCUGCAAUGAUCUUGCAAUGCAUCAGGUUUUGACUUUAGUUUUGGGCAAAAUUAUGAGGCUUGAUUAGGAAAACAUGAUGAAAAUUUUAUUUCCUACAGCCCAUUUUCUUCUUUCAGCAUGUCUUUUACUUACUUUCAUGCCCCUUUGAGUCUCCCCAAUCAUCUAGAAAGGGGAUCUACUAGUGAUGGCAACAAAGGAGCAUGGACUGCUUAAUAAGGCAAUUUUUAACCCAAAAGAAUAAAUCCCAGCGUUAGAAUUCCAAACACAAUAUCAAGUUGUGGGUAAGAAUUUGGAGUAAGCAGGACUUCUCUACAUCUCCAAAAUGUUAUCACACAAGCCUCUACCUGUAUGUAAAGCCAAACUUUCCAGUAUACAAUUGGGCACUAAAUUCCAGAUAGUUUUUUUUAUCUGGUCAUGGCCUUGUAAGAAAAGAAUUCUCCUUUCCUGUUUAAUGUUAACAUUUAAUAACUAUCAGGUGGUGACCUGGGCACUGCAGAUCAUUAUCUGUUGUCAGUGACAGUGCUGUUCAUUUUCAAACCAGUAAGAGAAGUUUUUUUUUCCUUUUCGUAUCCGUAAAAUUUGUGAGGGAUUUAAAACUUGAAAAAUGUGGGUUUUUCUUGCAUUUCCAAUGGACUAGGUCUUUACAAUCAUUAACUGUUUUAAAGUUGAGAAGAGCUGCUAAAUUCUUCCGAGCGUGAAAAAAGAUGGGCAUGUGCUGUAAAUUGACAUAAAAAAAGUGGCAGCUUUGAAAGUUUGCAAGAUCAUUUUUACCAGAGCUUAUAUUUGGUAUGAGAUAUCAGUAAAGCAGUUUUUUUUUGUUUUUUUUUUGUUUGUUUGUUUUUGAGAUGGAGUCUCACUCUGUUGCCCAGGCUGGAGUGCAGAGGUGCCAUCUUGGCUCACUGCAACUUCUAUCUCCUGGGUUCAAGCAAUUCUCCUGCCUCAGCCUCCCGAGUAGCUGGGAUUACAGGUGCGUGCCUCCAUGCCCGGCUAAUUUUUUGUACUUUUAGUAGAGACGAGGUUUCACCAUGUUGGCCAGGAUGGUUUUGUUCUCCUGACUUUGUGAUCCGCCCACCUCGGCCUCCCAAAGUGGAGGGAUUACAGGGGUGAGCCACUGCACCCAGCUGUAAAGCAGAUUAUUAGGAGGAAUAGUUAACUAGGAAAAAAAGGACAAACAUCACAUUUCACUUCUAUCUGCCCUUAAGAAAUAUGACAAUAAUCUGAAAAAUUGUCUAAAAUACCUAGAAUGCCUUGAGAUCAAUUUGAUGACUUAUCUGUUAGACAACUAUACAGAAGGCAGAUCUCUUCAUUGCAAUGCCCCCAAGAAGGCCUUAAAGGGACUGUUUUCUCCGCUAUGUUCUAUCUAUCCUCACAGGUAGGACCAGCUAUACAAUUUUAUUAAGAAUUUUAAGACAAUGAUAAUAGAGCAUUAAUCCAGCACAGGACCCUUCUGACCUGAUUCUGUGCUACUACACAGGAUGUCUAUCUGUGAAGCUGGCCCUGCUGGAAGGGUCUGAUUUUACUCAUCUCUCUGCUCCUUUAGUGCUGGGUAAGUGAAGCAGAGGAAAGAGAAUGUAGAGAGACAGACAUGAUUGAAAACUUGGCUUUUUUUCUUUUUAAAUGUGUGGAUGUGAGUGGGUGAGUUAAAGUCUUUGUCUGUUGCAUGACACUGUUCAGAAAGUCUAAUGCUGCAUCUUGCACAAGAGGGUCUCAGUAAAUGGUUCAGGAGACUUUGGGUUUGAAUUCUAUAAAAACCUAGUCUGUUGUCCAGGUGACUAUGGCUCUAUUUGAGUGAGUGCUAGGUCAUGGUUUUAUGGGCUUUAUUUCAUUCUAUAGCAUACAUCCUAAUGUUAGCUUAUAAAUACAAUCAUGCAUUGCUUAAUAAUGGAGAUACAUUCUGAGAAAUACAUCAUUAGACAAUUUCAUCCUGUGGGAACAUCAUAAAGUAUACGUAUGCAAACCUAGAUGAUACGGGCUACUACACAGCUGAGUUAUAAGGUAUCACCUAUUGCUCCUAGGCUAUAAACCUGUGCUGCAAACCUGUACAGCAUGUUACUCUACUGAACAUUGUAGGCGACCGUAACACAGUGGUAAGUGUUGUGUGUCUAAACAUAUCUAAACAGAAAAGGUACAAUAAAAAUAUAGUAUAAAAAGUUUUUAAACUUGUGCACCCAUACAGAGCACUUACCAUGAAAAAAAAAGCUUUCAGGGCUGGGAGUUGUUCUGAUGAGUCAGUGAGUGUGUGUUGAGUGAAUGUGAAGGUCUAGGAUAUUACUGUACACUACUGUGGAAUUUUUAUACACCAUACACUUAGGCUACAUUGAAUUUAUAAAAAAAAAAAAAAGUAAUUAUGCCUCAGCAUUACAGUGGCUAUGAUGUCACUAUGCAAUGGGAAUUUUUCAGCUUCAUUAUAAUCUUAUGGGAUCACCAUCAUAUAUGCAGUCCAUCCUUGACUGAACCAUCGUUAUGUGUCACAUGACUGUGUACGAGUUUGGUCACAAGAAAAGCUGAUUGAGAAGUCCUGGAGUGGCUAAAUCCACUCUCAUCACAUAAAAACUAAUUCAGAAGGUUUGGCAGUAUUGUAUCUCUAUAUAGUAGGUGGCAUAUUGUUAUCAUUACAAAUAAUGGAAGAUUUUCUCCUUUCUUUUACUGUUUUAUAUUGCUUAACAUAUUCCAGAUAGGUAAUGGCAUUUAUGUCUUUUACUUUUUUGCUUUGAAUUGACAAUCGUAAUAUGUCUCUAAUCUAAAAGCCAAUGUCUAAAUUCCAAAUAACAUAGAAAUAAGGUGCUUCUUUGGAAAUCCUCAGUUAAAAUAAACUAAAAUAUCCUUUGUUUGAACUUC